rnacentral:rRNA from 1 species
AUUGUACUGCUUCUAACCGUCCUUUCAUGGACAA